rnacentral:lncRNA from 1 species
GACCACUCGUUCCGUUUCAGCUCUAGCGGCCUCUCCACCCUUCUUCGUCUCCCUCCAUCCAAGACGCUUGCUUCCACCACCGCGGUUCCACCUCUCUAUCUCUCACUCUCUCGUCUCAUUCCCUCAACGGUGCGUGCAGUGGUGAUCCACCAAGACCGGCAUAACUGAUUCCCUCUUUCCUUGGUGAGUAAGCUCCUGCUUGCUUGGACGGAUUGCUGAUUUUUCUCUGUAUAAUCCAUCUCUUGUGCGAGCCCUCAAAUCCAAAUCUUUGCUUGUGGAAAUGAAUGCUCCAGGGCAUAAUACAUCUUCCUGCGCCGUGGAGUGUUACCUUCUGCUCCCUUUCUGUGAGGCUAUGGUGGUUCUCGCGAAGCUCGGGGCGCCAAGCACGCCAGGUCAGUCUAGGCGCUAACCUUAUCCUGUCAGUCUUGUGUGGCCUGUUUUGUUUAUUCUCCGCAGCCAGCAGUAACUGGAAGCAGUCAAUGUGCAAUCACCUUUUCGCGUCUAUGCAUUGUAAUAAUAAGGAUUGGGGAAAAAAAUUAAACUUUGCUAUACGCUCUCUGUAAUGUGGCUUCAGCUUCAACUUGAACUGAUUGAUGAUCGGCAUUCUGAAUUGGGCACAAUACUGAUCUCGCUAAAUAGUGGGAUUAGAACAUUUUUUCUCAUAUGCCAUGUCGAUUCAGGUAUAUACAGUCAGAAUGUUGACUCAUUCACAACUUAAUUUCACAGGGGAAUUUACCUCAUAUGUAAUUUAUAAUCUGAAUUGAGAUGCUAUGCAUACCAACGAAAUAGAUACAAGUAAUUUGGAGAAACUCCCUCGCAAACUGUAUUUCAUAGAUGAAAGCAAUAUGCAAUCCAAAUCCUGUGUAGACGCUACUUGGGUUCCACUAAGACUAUCCUGAAUUACUUGUGUACAGGUUUUAUGAUGGACAGAAGGAGACUGAUGUUGAUCCCAGCAAUCACCAUUGGCAUAGGCUCCUGUCAGU